GGGAGUGUGGCUUAGUGGUAGAGUGCUUGCCUAGUAUGCAUGAAGCCUGGGUUCAAGACCUCAGUACCA
rfam:Dipodomys ordii contig_58759, whole genome shotgun sequence.